UUAGUUGUGUUUUUCUGUCAUCUAGGCUUUGUGUAAUAUGCCGUCAGGGGUUCUACAGCCUUGAACCUGAUCAUAUUAAAGUUCAUUAUAGUCAUGAAAUAUGUCCUACAAUCAGCAUGGUAGUUUUAGAUCAUGGGAAAUGAAACCUUGUUGCCUUUCAGUCUUGUUCAUUACAGGGUUCAGAUUCCUGGACCAGAGCAACUUCUGCAGGUACUAUUUCAUAGUCUCCAAGGUGGACACAAACUAGUUUGUUACCCCCUUUUUCAGUGUAAUAACUCUGCCAUUAAAAGUAUAACUGUAUCAUUCUAAGUCAGUGUUGAGAAUUGGGUAAGAGAAAAUGCUGCCAUAAUUCGCUUUCUUUAUAUUGGAACCAGUGAAUUUUGUGUAUUGCAUACUCCACACCCAACUCACACCUAAAUGGAGAUCACAUUCGGACCUUGGCCUUUUGCUUGCUAGACAAACUCCCUACAGCUGAGGCAGAUGCCUCCUUCCACCUAUGUGUGUGCUGUACAGGUAGGGUUAAUCUUGUAUGUUUGUACACCAUUUUCACCAGAGAAUUUACUAUAGCUUAGUAAAUGAGAUUUGACAAAUAUGUUACCAAAUAAAUGGUAGUACAGGUGCCAAUUUGAGAUAACAGUCAGAUGCUUUUGGAGCUGAGAAGAAGAAAUUAAUAUGUAAAGAACCGAGAGGGAAGAAGACAGGAAAGGGUACAGAUGCCUAACGUUCAGGUGCUUCAGAGUAUCAAGAACUGAUAGAAUAUAUAUAAGAGUAAAGACGAAGAAAGAGCCAUCAGAGUCAAAAGAAUGAAUGUUUAUUUAAUACUUAGUGUAUUACCAGGUACCUGGUGUGUAUUUUCCUUGGGUUGCUGAAUUUAAUCAUAAAAUUGAAUUUCAGCAAAGCCUUUGCUAUGAUUGCACUAAUCAGCAGAGGCUGAGAAAUUGUUUUGAGACUGUUUGAACCUUGAGGAAAUGUUGUCUCCCUGGAAAAUCUGCACUUGGUGCUACGUGAGAGCUUGCAGCUGCACAGAUCUUAGCCUUAUCCUGGCAAACCUGGACUCCUUACUUUUGAUUAUGGCUAGCCAUGGUCAAGAGACUGGGGUUUGUGUGGGUUGUCAGCUCUAUUAGGCAGCAAGGGCAAGAUAACUUCGGUAGUUGGAACUUUUCCCAGCACUGAUAAACUUUGUGUAAGGUUUGAAUAAAAUGACUGGAGUGAGCUAGCUCGGGUCAGUCUUUUCCAAGAAGGCUGAACCCUCUGCUCCUUUGGGAAAUGAAGUCUUAGCAUCUUGGAGAGUUUCUCUUUCUACUGUGGCAUCUAUACCAACAUCAGUCAAUGGGCACUUAUUUAAAAAGACAGACUAUUGAACCCAAAUCCAAACCCCUGGGCUCAGAAAGAGCAUAUUAGUUAAUUCCUAUUGUUAGGCAAUUUUGGCAAGUGUUAACAUAAAGGAAAAUGGUAUAACUAAGAUUUUAACUGUUUUAGUGCAAUUUUAUGCUUGGUUCCCAAGCAUAAAAUUGGAUUAUGUAUAUAGGAGGAAACUCUUAAAGGUUGAGAGAUGAAAAAUAAGCAUGACUGAGCAGAGGCGAAACUAGGGAGAGAGAAGACUGAAGUCUAUUGGAAGGUUUCUAUUUUGUUCAAGAGGUAGGUAGCUAAGGGUCAGGAAUUAAGUUUACAGGUUUUGGAAUGAAAAGGCAGACUCUUAAGGAGUUGUGGCUAGGGGUUAUGUGAGCACUAAUAAUGGUAAUUUAUCCAAGGUGGAAAGGGAAAAAAAAAUACAGGAUUUAGGGAGCAGAAAGUUUGUUUUCAGUCACAUUAAAGUUCAAGUGCCUAGAGAAUUUUGAGGUGGAAUUUUGGAAUACUGAAUCAGAAAUACAGGUCUGAGGUGGAGCAUUUCCAGAUAUAAGGUGCGAGAAGUCACACAGACCCAUCAAUGAGAUACUCAGAAUACUGACCAAGCUAUAAUGUAUACAACAGGGAAUACCUACAGGGUCUUGAAAGAGUACUGAUAUUGAGGGGGU
rnacentral:lncRNA from 1 species